rnacentral:rRNA from 1 species
GCAACGUUUGCUGGAGCGGAUAGAAGUAAGCAUGCAGGCAUGAGUAGCGAUAAUUAAGGUGAGAAUCCUUAACGCCGAAAACCCAAGGUUUCCUACGCGAUGCUCGUCAUCGUAGGGUUAGUCGGGUCCUAAGUCGAGACUGAAAAGUGUAAAACUAGUAACCAUGGCAAAUUGGUUAAUAUUCCAAUACCAACAUAUAAGCGCGAUGUGGGACGCAUAGUUCUAGUCGAGCUCCCUUUUGUGGGG